AUUGAACGCUGGCGGCAUGCUUUACACAUGCAAGUCGAACGGUAACAGGUUAAGCUGACGAGUGGCGAACGGGUGAGUAAUGCAUCGGAACGUGCCCGGUCGUGGGGGAUAACGCAGCGAAAGCUGCGCUAAUACCGCAUACGAUCUGAGGAUGAAAGCGGGGGACCGUAAGGCCUCGCGCGAUCGGAGCGGCCGAUGUCAGAUUAGGUAGUUGGUGGGGUAAAGGCCCACCAAGCCAACGAUCUGUAGCUGGUCUGAGAGGACGACCAGCCACACUGGGACUGAGACACGGCCCAGACGCCUACGGGAGGCAGCAGUGGGGAAUUUUGGACAAUGGGCGAAAGCCUGAUCCAGCAAUGCCGCGUGCAGGAAGAAGGCCUUCGGGUUGUAAACUGCUUUUGUACGGAGCGAAAAGGUCUCCUCUAAUACAGGGGGCUCAUGACGGUACCGUAAGAAUAAGCACCGGCUAACUACGUGCCAGCCGCCGCAGUAA
rnacentral:rRNA from 1 species